UACCGGACCUGGAUCUAUUUCAGUCUCGCCGCCGUCCCCUUCGCCUUGAUCUGCCUGAUCGCGAUCUGGUGACCCUAGGGGUCGAUCAAACCGCCGGCCGCUGCCUUUCCUACUGCCUCGAUCCUCGUUGCCGCUCCAAGUUUCGUGCGCGCGUUAUCGAUGUGAAAAUCGACCGUGCGCUUGGUCAGACCGAGAAUUUGGGCAACCUCUGCUGAGGUUUUGCCCCGCGCAGCCCAAGUCAGGCAUUCGAC
rnacentral:misc_RNA from 1 species